GGGCGUAAGCGCACGCAGGCGGUCUGUCAAGUCGGAUGUGAAAUCCCCGGGCUCUACCUGGGAACUGCAUUCGAAACUGGCAGGCUAGAGUCUUCUAGAGGGGGGUAGAAUUCCAGGUGUAGCGGUGAAAUGCGUAGAGAUCUGGAGGAAUACCGGUGGCGAAGGCGGCCCCCUGGACAAAGACUGACGCUCAGGUGCGAAAGCGUGGGGAGCAAACAGGAUUAGAUACCCUGGUAGUCCACGCCGUAAACGAUGUCGACUUGGAGGUUGUGCCCUUGAGGCGUGGCUUCCGGAGCUAACGCGUUAAGUCGACCGCCUGGGGAGUACGGCCGCAAGGUUAAAACUCAAAUGAAUUGACGGGGGCCCGCACAAGCGGUGGAACAUGUGGUUUAAUUCGAUGCAACGCUAAUAACCUUACCUACUCUUGACAUCCAGAGAACUUAGCAGAGAUGCUUUGGUGCCUUCGGGAACUCUGAGACAGGUGCUGCAUGGC
rnacentral:rRNA from 1 species